ACUGGCUUGUCGCUUGUUGCCUUUUGGUAAUAAGAGGAAAGUCCGGGCAGCAUAGAGCAUCAUACUUCUUAACUGGAAGGCUCCGUGAAUUCGGAGACAGAUAGUGCCGCAGAAAAUAUACCUCCUUCGGGGAAGGGUGAAAAGGUGCCCACCUUUACUGGUGGCUUGGCGGCGGAAACGCCAACAAGGGUAAGAGCGCACCGCAUUAAUGGCGACAUUGAUGGCAGGGUAAACCUUAUGAGCUGAAAUAUCAUGUAAGCUAACAUUUGAAGCCGGCUCGGCUGAGUUAGUGGGUAGAUAGAUUGAUCCCGAGAGUGAUUUCGGGGCUAGAUAAAUGACAGGCAUACUGACUGAAAGGUCAGUAGACAGAACCCGGCUUAUAAGUUUGCUUU
rnacentral:RNase_P_RNA from 1 species